CUGUUUUGAGGGACUGGAAAACUCAAGAGAUAAUCACCAGUUUGUGGUACAUACCAUACAAGGUUGCUCAGAAAUUCGACUCUUUGUCUGUUGAACCCUUCUUGUGAUCCUGGGUCAACCUCCGAUGUCGUACCAGUGCAAGCAGCCAUGUUCGUGUCCUACUGUUUGUGUAAAAUCUGCUCCUGCUCAGACACCAUGCAGCCCACCCUGCUCCUGCAUUUGUGUUUCUGAGCCCGUGAAAGUGACCAAGUGUCCCCCCUCCUGCCAAAACUCAUGCGCCGAUACCAAGGCCUCGGCAGGUUCGUG